AACGAACGCUGGCGGCAUGCCUAACACAUGCAAGUCGAACGAGACCUUCGGCUCUAGUGGCGCACGGGUGCGUAACGCGUGGGAACCUGCCCUUAGGUUCGGAAUAACUCCCCGAAAGGGGUGCUAAUACCGGAUAAUGUCUUCGGACCAAAGAUUUAUCGCCUUUGGAUGGGCCCGCGUUGGAUUAGCUAGUUGGUAGGGUAAAAGCCUACCAAGGCGACGAUCCAUAGCUGGUCUGAGAGGAUGAUCAGCCACACUGGGACUGAGACACGGCCCAGACUCCUACGGGAGGCAGCAGUGGGGAAUAUUGGACAAUGGGCGAAAGCCUGAUCCAGCAAUGCCGCGUGAGUGAUGAAGGCCUUAGGGUUGUAAAGCUCUUUUACCCGGGAUGAUAAUGACAGUACCGGGAGAAUAAGCGCCGGCUAACUCCGUG
rnacentral:rRNA from 1 species